GUGGGGAAUAUUGGGCAAUGGGGGCAACCCUGACCCAGCGACGCCGCGUGGGUGAAGAAAUCCCUCGGGAUGUAAAGCCCUGUUGUAUGGGAAGAGCAGAAGACGGUACCAUACGAGGAAGCCCCGGCAAACUACGUGCCAGCAGCCGCGGUAAUACGUAGGGGGCAAGCGUUGUCCGGAAUUACUGGGCGUAAAGCGCACGCAGGCUGAAUUAUAAGUCGGUAGUCAAAUACGGAGGCUCAACUUCCGGAUAUCUAUCGAUACUGUAAAUCUAGAGUAUGUGAGAGGGAAGCGGAAUUCCCGGUGUAGCGGUGGAAUGCGUAGAGAUCGGGAGGAACACCAGUGGCGAAGGCGGCCUGCUGGGCCUUAACUGACGCUGAGGCACGAAAGCGUGGGUAGCAAACAGGAUUAGAUACCCGAGUAGUCC
rnacentral:rRNA from 1 species